AUUAGUCCUGAAUAAAGACUGGGAGUGGAUGGGUCACUACAAAAAGUAAUUUUCCUUCUGCUGAUACUCACACCUUCUUGUCAACUGUUGGAAAUGGAAGACAUCCACCUUAAUUGAAUUGGUCUCGUUAGCACUUAGACCCCAGUUGGUAGAGGCAACUUCCAUCUUUUCAUAUAUAUACUGCUUACUGUAUUUUUCACUUCAUGCAUCUGAUGAAGUGGGUUUUAGCCCAUGAAAGCUUAUGCCCAAAUAAAUGUGUUAGUCUCUAAGGUGCCACAAGGGCUCCUCGUUGUUUAAGUUUGUUUUUGUUUUCAAUAUACCUGUUGCUAUAUACUUUUAUUAGAGAACACAAGGUCAAUGUGCCUUUCAUUUGAAGUGGAAGGUGGUGAAGUUUGUUAUGGUCUUUAGUUUUUGGGAGAGUUCAUUCCACAGUCUUGGACCAGUCUCCAAAAAAGUUCUGUCUCCUGCACAGAUGAGGUUUACCCUUACUGUAGAGAGUUCCAUUCCGCCAGUGAAGCGUAACUGUUGACCUCAUUCUUCAUACCAGAAUUUUAAGUGCUCUUUAAGAUAUCUGGGGCCUUUCCCAUAGGCUUUUCUAUGGCACUCAACAUUAUAAAAUGGUGCACUUGACAAACAUUAAUGAAUUCAUUUUCAUUAUAACCUGUGAGGUAAAGUGGUAUUAUUGUCCAUAUUUUACAGAUGGAGCACUGAAGCAGAGGCAGAUUAAAGUUAAAAGUAUCCACUAAUUUUGUCUGCUCAAUUUGAGAAGUUUAGGAUCUGAUUUUUUCAGCAUACUUAGCAAGCAAUUUAUAGCACUUUAUACAUUCAAAUCACAGAUCUCAUUGAUUUCAACUGCAGCUGUGAAUACUCAGUCCCAGGUGUCUGAAGCUGGACAUCUGGAAAAUGAGGAACAUACGAUUAGUGCCUACCUGUGAAGAGUUUGGUUUAAGUUAUGUGCCUAGCAUCACAAAGGAAUUCAGGGGCAGGGGUAGAAUCAGACUUUUCAGGGAUGGUAUUCAAUUGCCUUAACCAUGAAACCAUCCUUUCUUAUCCUACAAUCCUCUGCCUCAUUCACUGCACACCUUCUAAUUUCUACCACAAAUGAGGCUGUGGUCCUAGCGAUAACUGUCUUAUUUAUUAUACAACCCUAAUUCAGUCCUUGAGCACUGACCAUCCGUGACACUGAAUGAGUCAGGGGUCCUGUGAAAAAAACACGUUUUUUGAUCAUGGAAAUAAAGACAUUAUCGUAGUGCAUAUGCAGAAGAGGGCAAAUGAAGGUUAUGCAAGCACUUAAGCAACAGAAUAACUAAUAGGAGUGGUAGGUUUUCCUCCUCUAUAUGGAUCAGCACCAGAGAGGAAUGAGGCACAUACUUUCCCAGUGGAAUUCAUAUUUUCUAACAGGACAGGAAUGGUGGGACUCAAACCUUGGGUUCAAUUCCAGGUUCUGAAAGAGAGUGUGUUCUAGUGAGCAUAUACCCUUCUUUCCUUGUUCCUCCAAGCCUAACACUUUCUGCUUGAAUCUGUUUCACUUCAGCCUCUCCAUCCACCCAAUCCAGCUCUUGCCCCCUCUGUGUUUCACUCAGGCUGUUUCUUCUCUCUUCACAAUACUUGGGCACCAGCCACAAAAGCACUGAGAGUACAGAAGAGAGAGAUUCCCUGCUCUCAGUUUGGUGACACCGCAUCUGGGAGCAGAAAUUGCAGGGUCUCCCCAGAACUGUGUGUACAGCUGUGCCCUCUUGUUCCAAUCUGUAUGGCUGUGAGGUGGCCGAAUUGCACUGCACAGAGUCUACAGUCCCCUGCCCCAGUCAGAGCUUUCUUAGGGCAGCCUCUGCAGUUCACACUUGAUGCAGAUCAUCAAAUGGCUUGAAAGAAGACAGAAGAGUCUAAUGCUUUACCAGAAGUCAGGCUGAUAACCAGGCUCACCUUUGCAUGAUCAGUAGUGUAGGACUGAGGAUGCAUCAUGAACAGGAGGUGGCACUGGAUUAUAAAACCCCAGAAUUUCUGGCGAUUACCAUCAAACCAUUCUGGCAGAUGUAUCAAGAAACAGCGCUCUGUGAGAUGUGUCUGGAGUGCGAUGUGUUUGGAAUGCAACUGUCUCACCUGCUCCUGCAAUAGCUGGUUCUCUGAGGUCAGCUGGAUGACCCUGGUCUGCAGGAGUUUGUUGACCACCUGAAGAUAUAUGAGAUACCUAAGUGGUGUAGGAGAGCCAUCAGAGAGGUAAAUCUUAGAGUUUUCAGUUUCCCAUUAUAGUCAGAUGUGAAUACUGCUCUAUUACACAAUUUCUCUGGUUAUUCAUAGAUUGCCUGUGUACUAUUAUGAUUCUAAUAUCUGGGGAAACAAAUAAUGUUUACAAUAGGCAGGUUGAUACAGUUCUGUCAAAGCAACAGCUUCAGGAGUGUCACCAGGUUAUGCAGCUGCCUCUCCAGUACAAGAGCAAGAAGACAUCUCCUGGAAAUAGAAAGGCAAUAUAUUUAAAACUAAUACAAGAAAAUACUGUUUACACAAUUCAUAAUUAACCUGUGGAACUCCCUUCACAGGUGCUCAGUAGGAUUUUUAAAAACAAGAAUUAGACCUUCACAUGGAUAAUGAGAGCAUCCACAGCUAUAUUUGAUAGGAUAAUACACAGACACACCCCAUAUAUAUAUAUAUAUGACAUGAACUGUCACGUUUCAGGCCUAAUUAAACUGAUUGUGGUUAGGAAGAACCUUUCCCUGUGAGUGGAUUAUUGUAUAAUUAUCAAUUAUUGGAUUAUUUGCACCUUGAUCUGAAUCAUUAGUCAGAAUCAGGCUACUGGACUAGAUGGCCAUUUGAUAUGACCCAGUAUGGUGAUUUUUUGGUUCUUAUAGUGUUUGCUGGUUUUGCUCUAGUGCUUCAUAUAAGGUAUU